rnacentral:rRNA from 1 species
AACGAACGCUGGCGGCAUGCCUAACACAUGCAAGUCGAACGAAGCCUUCGGGCUUAGUGGCGCACGGGUGCGUAACGCGUGGGAAUCUGCCCUUGGGUUCGGAAUAACAGUUAGAAAUGACUGCUAAUACCGAAUGAUGUCUUCGGACCAAAGAUUUAUCGCCCAAGGAUGAGCCCGCGUCGGAUUAGCUAGUUGGUGAGGUAAAGGCUCACCAAGGCGACGAUCCGUAGCUGGUCUGAGAGGAUGAUCAGCCACACUGGGACUGAGACACGGCCCAGACUCCUACGGGAGGCAGCAGUGGGGAAUAUUGGACAAUGGGCGAAAGCCUGAUCCAGCAAUGCCGCGUGGAUGAAGAAGGUCUUCGGAUUGUAAAGUCCUUUCGACGGGGACGAUGAUGACGGUACCCGUAGAAGAAGCCCCGGCUAACUUCGUGCCAGCAGCCGC